rnacentral:rRNA from 1 species
AGCGGCGGACGGGUGAGGAACACGUAGGAAUCUGCCCAGAAGCGGGGGACAACCAAGGGAAACUUUGGCUAAUACCGCGUAAUCUCGAGAGAGUAAAGCUGCCCGCAAGGGUGGCGCUUCUGGAGGAGCCUGCGUCCGAUUAGCUAGUUGGUGAGGUAAGAGCUCACCAAGGCGAUGAUCGGUAACUGGUCUGAGAGGACGACCAGUCACACUGGGACUGAGACACGGCCCAGACUCCUACGGGAGGCAGCAGUGGGGAAUAUUGGACAAUGGGGGCAACCCUGAUCCAGCGAUGCCGCGUGGGUGAAGAAGGCCUUCGGGUUGUAAAGCCCUUUAGGUUGGGAAGAAGUGUACGGGUCGAAUAAACUCGUACAUUGACGGUACCGACAAAAUAAGCACCGGCAAACUCUGUGCCAGCAGCCGCGGUAAUACAGAGGGUGCGAGCGUUAAUCGGAGUUACUGGGCGUAAAGGGCGCGUAGGCGGUUGUGUGAGUGUGAUGUGAAAGCCCUGGGCUUAACCUGGGAAGUGCAUCGCAAACGACAUAACUGGAGUAUAAGAGAGGGUGGCGGAAUUUCCGGUGUAGCGGUGAAAUGCGUAGAGAUCGGAAGGAACGUCAAUGGCGAAGGCAGCCACCUGGCUUAAUACUGACGCUGAGGCGCGAAAGCGUGGGUAGCGAACAGGAUUAGAUACCCUGGUAGUCCACGCUGUAAACGAUGAGAACUAGA